AAUUUUGGACAAUGGGGGAAACCCUGAUCCAGCCAUCCCGCGUGUAUGAUGAAGGCCUUCGGGUUGUAAAGUACUUUUGGCAGAGAAGAAAAGGUAUCUCCUAAUACGAGAUACUGCUGACGGUAUCUGCAGAAUAAGCACCGGCUAACUACGUUCCAGCAGCCGCGGUAAUACGGAGGGUGCAAGCGUUAAUGGGAAUUACUGGGCUUAAAGCGGAGGGAGGCGGUUUGGAAAGAAAGAUGUGAAAUCCCAAGGCUCAAACUUGGAACUGCAUUUUUAACUGGCGAGCUAGAGUAUGUCAGAGGGGGGUAGAAUUCCACGUGUAGCAGUGAAAUGCGUAGAUAUGUGGGGGAAUACCGAUGGCAAAGGCAGCCCCCUGGGAUAAAACUGACGCUCAGACACGAAAGCGUGGGGGGCAAACAG
rnacentral:rRNA from 1 species